rnacentral:lncRNA from 1 species
AUGCUUGCUUCUCAGGCUGCCUGUGGCUCUCACACGGACAUUGAUAUCUAUACCUCCUCUGUACUGGAUUACAUCAACACCACCAUUGACAGUCUUACAACAGAAAAACAGAUCACAACGUACCCUGAUCAGAAGCCAUGGAUGAACAAGGAGGUGCGACUCCUACUGAAAGCCCGCAACACUGCCUUCAGAUCAGAAGAUGCUCAGGCCUACAGCAAAUCCGGGGCUAACCUGAGGAGGGGCAUCAAAAAGGCCAAGUACUGCUACAAGCUAAAGGUAGCAGAGCACUUUUCCAACUCUGACCCCCGACGCAUGUGGCAGGGCAUCCAGGCCAUCAGUGACUACAAGCCAAGCAACUCUACUCCAACGGUCACAGAUGUCUCCUUCCUUAACGAGCUAAAUUACUUUUAUGCUCACUUCAACAGCGACAGCAAGGAGACGGCCACCAAGAUCACACUCUCAGCAAACCACCAACCCCUCAAACUCACCUCCUCAGAUGUCCGCACAGCAUUGAGCCGGAUCAACGCACGCAAGGCUGCUGGCCCGGACGGCAUUCCGGGAUGUGUGCUUAGGGCAUGUGCAGGACAGCUUGCCAGGGUCUUCACAGACAUUUUCAACCUGUCCCUCACCCAAGCAACUGUGACAACAUGCUUGAAGUCCACAUCCAUUGUGCCAGUGCCGAAACACUCCUCCCCGAUCUGCAUGAAUGACUACCGCCCUGUAGCACUCAUACUUAUUGUUAUGAAGUGCUUUGAGCGGCUGGUCCUAGCACACCUCAAGAACUCCCUCCCACCCACACUGGACCCACACCAAUUUGCCUACCGCAGAAAUAGGAGCACAGAGGAUGCAGUAUGCACAGUGAUGCACUCUGCACUCACACACCUGGACCAUAACAACACGUAUGUUAGGAUGUUGUUUGUUGACUUCAGCUCAGCAUUUAAUACUGUCAUUCCCUCCAAGCUGACCACAAAACCUGGAGACCUGGACAUUAACACCUCCCUCUGCAACUGGAUUAUGGACUUUCUGACCAGCAGACCUCAGCAUGUUAGGUCAGGCCACACCUGCUCCACCACCAUCACACUCAACACCGGCGUACCACAGGGCUGUGUGCUGAGCCCAUUGCUCUACUCCCUCUACACCCACGACUGCAAGCCAGUGCAUGGAUCCAACUCCAUCAUUAACUUUGCAGAUGACACCACGCUUAUUGGCCUCAUCAGAGACAACGAUGAGACUGCCUACAGGGAGGAGGUACAGCACCUGGCCGCAUGGUGCACUGACAACAACCUGCCCCUUAACACCAGCAAGACAAAGGAGCUCAUUGUGGACUUCAGGAAGAAUAAAGGAAGCAUGCACGACCCCAUCCACAUUAAAUCUGCCCAACGCAUCACAGGGACCCCACUCCCUGCUAUUGAGGACAUCCAGAGAAAAUGCAGUCUACGUCGAGCUCACAGCAUUCUUAAGGACUACUCUCACCCUGACCAUAGACUGUUUAACCUCCUUCCCUCCGGGAGGCGCUUCAGGACCCUCCGGACAAGGACUAGCAGACUCAGGAACAGCUUUUUCCACCACCACCACCACCCCCACACACCAAACACACACAGUCCUCACCCCUCCUCAUCACUACAUUUGGCUUACAAAUAA